ACCCUCCCGAUCCCUGCCUCACCGGACCCCAACACCGGUCUGAGUGGUUAUCAGAGAAGGGAAAAUAAGGCGGACACCGACUUCAAAGCUUCUAUAACACACGAGGUAGUCUCAGACUACG
rnacentral:snoRNA from 1 species